rnacentral:rRNA from 1 species
UACGGAGGGGGCGAGCGUUAUUCGGAAUUAUUGGGCGUAAAGGGCGCGUAGGCGGCUGUACAAGUCAAAGGUGAAAUCCCUCGGCUCAACUGAGGAACUGCCUUUGAAACUGUACGGCUUGAGGCCGGGAGGGGGUAGCGGAAUUCCCAAUGUAGCGGUGAAAUGCGUAGAUAUCAGGAGGAACACCUGCGGUGUAGACGGCUUACUGGACCAUAACUGACGCUGAGGCACGAAAGCGUGGGUAGCAAACAGG